AGAUCAUGUCAUCUCAUGGAGUGUAAAACCUUGCUUUGGAGGCCACUCAUUUGGACUUUGAUGGAAUGUUUUUAAUCCCGUCAUAUAAUUUAUGCUUGGACAGAGUCAUCCAAUCAUGUGAAGAUGAUGGAGUAUACCAGGAUGCUGACGGGAUUUAAAAUGUGAAUAGAAGUCACCCUUCAGUGAGGACCAUAUCCUAAUAUCCUGUGUGCACACAUGAGCUCUGCCACUAAUUAACUGACUGACAGGAUCUUCCAAAGGACCACUGCUGCCUGCCUCGUCAGGUCGUGCCGUCAGAAGAAAUGGGUUGAAACACAAUGUUUCACCACUCAGAACUCGUGCUAAUGAGGCUCCCCUUGCCAAUUCUCUGAAUUGGAAAGGAUGAAAAAUGCCCUAGUGUGGAGAGUAUUAAUGGGAGUAUGUGGAGGAUUGAGACUGGAAAAGAGAGAGCUGAGCCCAUGGCCCAAGCCCGACAAGCUCAUGUAUAAAUAGCUUUUUGCUAAAGUUUCAUUAAAACUGCUAUCGGUUUCUCUUUGUCAACUGUUCACCUUGAUGGAGUUCUCAAGGGAGCUUGACACAAUUCAGUCAAUGUGGGAGAGCAAGAUUAACCCAAGAAGAUAUGACCCUGGUAGUCUGAAGAUUAACAAGGAUUUAAAGGAAAACAUCCCCUCCCCCAAAGCCCCAAACAAAUACACACAAAAUCUUUAGAGGAGGAAGAGAGCAGUUUGUAACAGAAAUGUAACUGUGAGGUUCUAAAAGUUAGAUUUCCCAAGAGUUCUGUGUGAACACCCUGUUUUACUCAAUCCUGACUAUUGUAAAAACACACAUUUCCUUUUUUAAAGAUUUGUUUAUUUUUUUUGAGAGAGAGAAGGAGCAAGAGAAAGCACGUGCACACAGACACAAGUGAAGGUGGGGCAGAGGGCAAGGGAGAGAGAGAAUCCCAAACCCACUCCCCGCUGAGCUUGGAGCCCAAAGUGGGGCUUGAUCCCACCACCCUGAGAUCCUGACCUGAGCUAUAGUCAGAGGCUUAACCAACUGAGCCACCACCCAGGCGCCCUGAAACACACAUUUCUAUGUUGAUGCAUACAGUAU